UAGUAAUAACUUAGAUUCAUAAAUUGCAUUUCAUAAAACCCACGGACGCUUUACACAAGUAACAUUACAAGGGAAGAGAAAAUAGGCCAACACAAACACGGACUGCAAAAAAAUAAAGUGGGAGCUACAAUGGAAG